UGGGUACAAGUCGCUGGGUAAAAGAUAAAAAACACCCUGGACAGGUUGCCAGUCCAUCACAGGGCAAACACACCCACACACAUACACAUCUAGGGGCAAUUUAGUAUUUCCAAUAAGACUGACUGCAUGUCUUUGGACUGUGGGAGGAAACCGGAGCUCCCGGAGGAAACCCACACACACACGAGGAGAACAAACUCGACACAGAAGGGAAUCAAACCCAAGACCCUCUUGCAGUGAGGAAACAGUGCAACCCACAAGCCGUCACACCGUGAUGUCCCUGUAAAAAGGAAAGAAAAAAGGAUAAUCCCGAUUGUUACAAAUGCAAGGUUAAGAACAUAUUGGAGAACAUAUGCUGCCAUCUUAUUUCAGGGCUGAGAAGACAGGUCAGGGCCAUGGCACGAUUACAGCUGGUCAAACAAGACCACAGACCAUAUAUCUACUGCAAGCAAGCUAAGAACAAGAUCGGAUUUGGGCAAACUGUGUUUACCUUAUCCAUUUUUGCUCUUGCUCUCCUGGUCCCUGCUGGCUGGAUCAUGUGCCACAUUCCAGUUUACCGGCAAAGACCGCCUCCAGAAGUUUGAUCUCAUGGGCCAUCUGCAUCAUUCCCUCUCUAACAUAUCUCGAUAUAUCUUACAUUAACAUGAAAUAAAAGUGUAUCGAGUCAA